UUACUGGUGUACAUCAUUUUGUAC
rnacentral:siRNA from 1 species